CAAAUAUCCAUUUUGAUUUCUGUUAUGAUGAUGGUUUUGUUUCAGCAGUAGAUGCAGAUUGGCAGACAAUUAAGAAAGGAUUGCAAAUGCAGCUUUAAUUGAUGAUAUAUUUAAUUGGAAAUUAGGGUUCAGUCUCUCUGCAAUUUUCAGUCACACAUGGUGAAUUUCCAGCUCUUGAAGUUUAUUUUGCAGAUUUUCUGCUGUGCAUAAUUCAGUACGGGUCUCCAAGCACCUGCCACACAGCCUUGUCUUCUCCACAGUGACUUACAAAUUCUGAAUCAAAGUGGGAAAGAAAAAGCCCUUGGUGUUUAAAUGGACUGAAUUAUUAUCUGGAUCAGAAGGGGGUGCUCCUCAGAGCCCCAAGGGAUGCAAGCACACUGGCUCGCUCUCAGCUGAUGUUAUCUCCGUGGCAUUCAUUAUUCAUAGUGGUCUGAGCAGGGUCAGCUGACACCUGAGGUUUAAUAGGGACAUCUGGACAAUUGUGCAGUACUGAAAGUUCAGAGAGGAACACCCAUAGAAUGCUAGGAGUAAUAAAGGAGACCAGAACUGCCAAAUACAAAGAUGAGAAAGCACCUGGCAGGUGUCGCCUUCCAUCUGUGGCCCUGCGUUGCUUCUCUUUGCUGUGUCACCAGAAGAUUAUCUGUGUAAGAAGCAAGGCUUAG
rnacentral:lncRNA from 1 species